rnacentral:rRNA from 1 species
CCUACGGGCGGCUGCAGUAGGGAAUCUUCCACAAUGGACGAAAGUCUGAUGGAGCAACGCCGCGUGUGUGAUGAAGGGUUUCGGCUCGUAAAACACUGUUGUAAGAGAAGAAUGACAUUGAGAGUAACUGUUCAGUGUGUGACGGUAUCUUACCAGAAAGGAACGGCUAACUACGUGCCAGCAGCCGAGGUAAUACGUCUGUUCCAAGCGUUAUCCGGAUUUAUUGGGCAUAAAGCGAGCUCAGAAGGUAGUAGAAGGCCUAAUUGAAAGCCGAGAGCUUAACUGUAGAAGUGCUUUGCAAACUCGAUAACUUGAGUGCAGUAGAGGAGACUGGAACUUCAUGUGUAGCGGUGAAAUGCGUAGAUAUAUGGAAGAACACCAGUGGCGAAGGCGGCUCUCUGGACUGUAACUGACGUUGAGGCUCGAAAGUGUGGGUAGCAAACAGGAUUAGAUACCCCUGUAGUC